GAAAUCUUAGUAUAAUUUUAGUAUUUUUAAUUGCAAAUUAAAAGGUAUAGAUUUUU
rnacentral:tRNA from 1 species